rnacentral:rRNA from 1 species
AGUGAACGCUGGCGGUAGGCCUAACACAUGCAAGUCGAACGGCAGCACAGUAAGAGCUUGCUCUUACGGGUGGCGAGUGGCGGACGGGUGAGGAAUACAUCGGAAUCUACUUUUUCGUGGGGGAUAACGUAGGGAAACUUACGCUAAUACCGCAUCCGACCUACGGGUGAAAGCAGGGGAUCUUCGGACCUUGCGCGAUUGAAUGAGCCGAUGUCGGAUUAGCUAGUUGGCGGGGUAAAGGCCCACCAAGGCGACGAUACGUAGCUGGUCUGAGAGGAUGAUCGGCCACACUGGAACUGAGACACGGUCCAGACUCCUACGGGAGGCAGCAGUGGGGAAUAUUGGACAAUGGGCGCAAGCCUGAUCCAGCCAGACCGCGUGGGUGAAGAAGGCCUUCGGGUUGUAAAGCCCUUUUGUUGGGAAAGAAAAGCAGCAGGUUAAUACCCCGCUGUUCUGACGGUACCCAAAGAAUAAGCACCGGCUAACUUCGUG